CAAUAGCGUAUAUUAAAGUUGUUGCAGUUAAAAGCUCGUAGUUGGAUUUCUGGCAGGAGCGACCGGUCACGCACUCUGUGCGUGAACUUGUGUUGUCUCUGGCCAUCCUUGGGGAGAUCCUGUUUGGCAUUAAGUUGUCGGGCAGGGGAUACCCAUCGUUUACUGUGAAAAAUUAGAGUGUUUAAAGCAGGCUUAUGCCGUUGAAUAUAUUAGCAUGGAAUAAUAAGAUAGGACUUCGGAACUAUUUUGUUGGUUUGCGUUACGAAGUAAUGAUUAAAAGGGGCAGUCAGGGGCACUCGUAUUCCGUCGAGAGAGGUGAAAUUCUCAGACCAAUGGAAGACGAACCACUGCGAAAGCAUUUGCCAGGGAUGUUUUCACUGAUCAAGAACGAAAGUUAGGGGAUCGAAGAUGAUCAGAUACCAU
rnacentral:rRNA from 1 species